GCGCACGGCUCAUUAGAGCAGAUAUCACCUUAUCCGGGAUCCUCAUAUGGAUAACUGCGGAAAUACUGGAGCUAAUACAUGCAACUAUACCCCAACGCAAGGCGGGGUGCAAUUAUUAGAACAGACCAAACGUUUUCGGACGUUGUUUGUUGACUCUGAAUAAAGCAGUUUACUGUCAGUUUCGACUGACUCUAUCCGGAAAGGGUGUCUGCCCUUUCAACUAGAUGGUAGUUUAUUGGACUACCAUGGUUGUUACGGGUAACGGAGAAUAAGGGUUCGACUCCGGAGAGGGAGCCUUAGAAACGGCUACCACGUCCAAGGAAGGCAGCAGGCGCGAAACUUAUCCACUGUUGAGUAUGAGAUAGUGACUAAAAAUAUAAAGACUCAUCCUUUUGGAUGAGUUAUUUCAAUGAGUUGAAUACAAAUGAUU
rnacentral:rRNA from 1 species